AAACGAGGUCGUGCGCGCUUCCUGCGAUGGUUUUUUGCUGUCCCCGUCUGGCCCCAGGUGCGCGGGACGUAGAGGCCGGACAGCCGGGAGGCGGAGAUGAAAGGGGCCAGCGGCCCGGCCCCGGGGACACGCGUGCCAGGCCCUGCUGCAGCCCCCGAGAGGUCGGAGGCGCGGAGCCAGGGCUGACCCUGUGCACUGGGUCGAGGGCCACCCCUCGUCUCAGCCUAAGCUGGACGCACCACCCGGGCAGAAGUGACAUCAGAACCCUAGGCUCCGUUGUCAACCACGGUUACUGAUGUCACCCCUUCUGCACAGGGAGGAAGGUGUGGCCCAGCGAGGCAUCCUCCCGUCUUAGUCGGGGUCUGCCCUGGGUGGGAGGGAUUGUAGGACCCCCUCUCCGCUGGCUGUGACAGCCUAAGCUGGUGAGCUGUUUCUAGCCAGAGUGCCCCUUCGGUGAAGUCUAAAGCCCCGAGAUGUCAACGGCAGCUGCCGUGUAUUGAAAAGCAUGUGCCAGGCCAUCCUGGACUUAGACGUAAAUGUGUUAUCUCAGUACUCCUGGCAGCUGUAUAAACGUGCAUGCCACCCCUUUUCACAGAUGAGGGGCCGAGGUCAGAGAAGCAGCUUGCCAGAGGCCCUGGAGGGCAAAGGGACACAGCCUAGAUUUGGACCCAGAUCCUUGAUACUGAAUCUCAGCUGUUAGCCUGUGUGCUGAGCCGGCAUCCUGUGAUAAUAGUUUCCCUUCAGUAGGUGUAGCUGGCUGGCAGCUCUGUUGAUUACCUUAGCUCACUGCUGCC
rnacentral:lncRNA from 1 species